rnacentral:rRNA from 1 species
UACGGAGGAUGCAAGCGUUAUCCGGAUUUAUUGGGUUUAAAGGGUGCGCAGGUUGUUUGAUAAGUCAGUGGUGAAAGUCUGUCGCUUAACGGUAGGAUUGCCAUUGAUACUGUUAGACUUGAAUAUGGAUGAGGUAGGCGGAAUGUGUAGUGUAGCGGUGAAAUGCAUAGAUAUUACACAGAACACCGAUUGCGAAGGCAGCUUACUAAUCCAUCAUUGACGCUUAGGCACGAAAGCGUGGGGAUCAAACAGGA